CCACGGCCGGCGACGUGGGUGCCGCCACCUACUGACCACCUCAAGUUCAAUGUGGACGCAGUUGUGUCUCGCUCGGGCACUUUUGGUGCAGUUGGAGUAAUCUGCAGGGAUGCAGGGCUAUUUAUGGGAGCUUCGUCACUCACCUUGAGGGGCCUUCGUGACCCUCAGGUGCUCGAAACACUAGCUAUUCAGGAGGCGUUAGCACUCUCAGAGGAUCUCUAUCUCAACCAAAUUAUGGUGGCCUCGGAUUGCAAGGUGGCGAUUGAUGCGAUCAGGGAAGGAAGCCUAGCAAAUUUUGGUGCUAUUGUCCAGGAGAUCAAGGCUAGAGCAGCAACCUUUAUUUCAUGUUCCUUUAGUCACGAGUAUAGGACCUCCAACACGAAGGCCCAUAAUCUCGCAAAGUAUGCUUUAUCUUUAGGGUUUGGCCGUCACACCUGGCUCGGCCAGCCCGGCGACCUUGUCUUUGUACCCAUGAACAUUCUUAUUCAGUAA
rnacentral:rRNA from 1 species